rnacentral:rRNA from 1 species
CUGGGCGUAAAGGACGCNUAGGCGGAUUAUCAAGUCUCUUGUGAAAUCUAACGGCUCAACCGUUAAACUGCUUGGGAAACUGAUAAUCUAGAGUAAGGGAGAGGCAGAUGGAAUUCUUGGUGUAGGGGUAAAAUCCGUAGAUAUCAAGAAGAAUACCUAUUGCGAAGGCGNUCUGCUGGAACUUAACUGACGCUAAUGCGUGAAAGCGUGGGGAGCAAACAGGAUUAGAUACCCUGGUAGUCCAUGCCCUAAACGAUGUAUACCGGUUGUUGCUGUGCUAGUCACGGCAGUAAUCCACCUAACGGAUUAAGUAUACCGCCUGGGGAGUACGGUCGCAAGAUUAAAACUCAAAGGAAUAGACGGGGACCCGCACAAGCGGUGGAGCAUGUGGUUUAAUUCGAAGAUACGCGAAGAACCUUACCCGGACUUGAUAUCUAACAAAUCAUCCAGAGAUGGAAGAGUGUCUGCUUGCAGAAAUGUUAAGACAGGUGCUGCACGGCUGUCGUCAGCUCGUGUCGUGAGAUGUUGGGUUAAGUCCCGCGACGAGCGCAACCCACGUCAUUAGUUGCUAACGGUUCGGCCGAGCACUCUAAUGAGACUGCCUUCGUAAGGAGGAGGAAGGUGUGGGCGACGUCAAGUCAUCAUGGCCCUUAUGUCCGGGGCGACACACGUGCUACAAUGGCAUAUACAAUAAGACGCAAUAUCGUAAGAUGGAGCGAAUCUAAAAAAUAUGUCCCAGUUCGGAUUGGAGUCUGCAACUCGACUCCAUGAAGCCGGAAUCGCUAGUAAUCGUAGAUCAGCCAUGCUACGGUGAAUACGUUCCCGGGUCUUGUACUCACCGCCCGUCACACCAUGGGAGUUGAUUU